rnacentral:rRNA from 1 species
UACGGGGGGGGGUAAGCGUUGUUCGGAAUUACUGGGCGUAAAGCGCACGUAGGCGGACUGUUAAGUCGGGGGUGAAAUCCUGGGGCUCAACCUCAGAAUUGCCUCCGAUACUGGCAGUCUCGAGUGCGGGAGAGGUGAGUGGAAUUCCCAGUGUAGAGGUGAAAUUCGUAGAUAUUGGGAAGAACACCAGUGGCGAAGGCGGCUCACUGGCCCGUAACUGACGCUGAGGUGCGAAAGCGUGGGGAGCAAACAGG